rnacentral:tRNA from 1 species
GCCCUGGUAGCGUAGUGGAUGACGCGGGUGCCUUCUAAGCAUUUAUAGGCAGGUUCGAUUCCUGUCCAGGGUAC